rnacentral:rRNA from 1 species
CCUACGGGCGGCUGCAGUGGGGAAUAUUGCACAAUGGGCGCAAGCCUGAUGCAGCCAUGCCGCGUGUGUGAAGAAGGCCUUCGGGUUGUAAAGCACUUUCAGCGGGGAGGAAGGCGGUGAGGUUAAUAACCUCAUCGAUUGACGUUACCCGCAGAAGAAGCACCGGCUAACUCCGUGCCAGCAGCCGCGGUAAUACGGAGGGUGCAAGCGCUAAUCGGAAUUACUGGGCGUAAAGCGCACGCAGGCGGUCUGUCAAGUCGGAUGUGAAAUCCCCGGGCUCAACCUGGGAACUGCAUUCGAAACUGGCAGGCUAGAGUCUUGUAGAGGGGGGUAGAAUUCCAGGUGUAGCGGUGAAAUGCGUAGAGAUCUGGAGGAAUACCGGUGGCGAAGGCGGCCCCCUGGACAAAGACUGACGCUCAGGUGCGAAAGCGUGGGGAGCAAACAGGAUUAGAUACCCCGGUAGUC